rnacentral:rRNA from 1 species
UACAGAGGGGGCAAGCGUUGUUCGGAAUUACUGGGCGUAAAGGGCGCGUAGGCGGCCUGCUAAGUCGAACGUGAAAUCCCUGGGCUCAACCCAGGAACUGCGUCCGAUACUGGUUGGCUUGAAUCCGGGAGAGGGAUGCGGAAUUCCAGGUGUAGCGGUGAAAUGCGUAGAUAUCUGGAGGAACACCGGUGGCGAAGGCGACAUCCUGGACCGGUAUUGACGCUGAGGCGCGAAAGCCAGGGGAGCAAACGGG